rnacentral:rRNA from 1 species
GGGUUGUGAGGUUAAGCGACUAAGCGUACACGGUGGAUGCCCUGGCAGUCAGAGGCGAUGAAGGACGUGCUAAUCUGCGAAAAGCGUCGGUAAGGUGAUAUGAACCGUUAUAGCCGGCGAUGUCCGAAUGGGGAAACCCAGUGCAAUUCGUUGCACUAUCGUUAACUGAAUACAUAGGUUAACGAGGCGAACCGGGGGAACUGAAACAUCUAAGUACCCCGAGGAAAAGAAAUCAACCGAGAUUCCCCCAGUAGCGGCGAGCGAACGGGGAGCAGCCCAGAGUCUGAAUCAGCUUGUGUGUUAGUGGAACGGUCUGGAAAGUCCGACGGUACAGGGUGAUAGUCCCGUACACCAAAAUGCACAGGCUGUGAACUCGAAGAGUAGGGCGGGACACGUGGUAUCCUGUCUGAAUAUGGGGGGACCAUCCUCCAAGGCUAAAUACUCCUGACUGACCGAUAGUGAACCAGUACCGUGAGGGAAAGGCGAAAAGAACCCCGGCGAGGGGAGUGAAAAAGAACCUGAAACCGUGUACGUACAAGCAGUGGGAGCACCUUCGGGUGUGACUGCGUACCUUUUGUAUAAUGGGUCAGCGACUUAUAUUCUGUAGCAAGGUUAACCGUAUAGGGGAGCCGCAGGGAAACCGAGUCUUAACUGGGCGUUAAGUUGCAGGGUAUAGACCCGAAACCCGGUGAUCUAGCCAUGGGCAGGUUGAAGGUUGGGUAACACUAACUGGAGGACCGAACCGACUAAUGUUGAAAAAUUAGCGGAUGACUUGUGGCUGGGGGUGAAAGGCCAAUCAAACCGGGAGAUAGCUGGUUCUCCCCGAAAGCUAUUUAGGUAGCGCCUCGUGAAUUCAUCUUCGGGGGUAGAGCACUGUUUCGGCUAGGGGGUCAUCCCGACUUACCAACCCGAUGCAAACUACGAAUACCGAAGAAUGUUAUCACGGGAGACACACGGCGGGUGCUAACGUCCGUCGUGAAGAGGGAAACAACCCAGACCGCCAGCUAAGGUCCCAAAGUCAUGGUUAAGUGGGAAACGAUGUGGGAAGGCACAGACAGCCAGGAUGUUGGCUUAGAAGCAGCCAUCAUUUAAAGAAAGCGUAAUAGCUCACUGGUCGAGUCGGCCUGCGCGGAAGAUGUAACGGGGCUAAACCAUGCACCGAAGCUGCGGCAGCGACACUAUGUGUUGUUGGGUAGGGGAGCGUUCUGUAAGCCUGCGAAGGUG